rnacentral:tRNA from 1 species
GCGGCCGUCGUCUAGCCUGGCUAAGACGUCAGCCUUCCAAGCUGAAGAUCCCGGGUUCGAAUCCCGGCGGCCGCA